GGGUGAGGACAGACGGAGAGGCUUCAUCCUCAGCCUCCAGGAGGACCUCAGGGGGCUGUUGGAGAAUGAGGAGCAGGGGCUGGAGGAGCAGAGGGGGCUGUUGGAACAGCUGCAGGAUGCGCAGCAGAAUGGCCACUUCCUGUCGUGUAAGGUGGAGGAAAUGAGGACGGUGGUCCACAGGCUCAAGCUGAAUGAGAGCUCCAUGAUGGAGGAGGUGGAGGAACUGCAAGAGGAGAACCAGAGACUGUAAGAGGCUCAGCCACACCCUGAGACAGAUCAACCACAGCCCGGACUCUACUGACCCCCGUCUCUACCCCCAGCCCUAGCUCUGGUGCCAGCCCAGGGACUCCAGCCCCAGCCUGGCUACCGCCCUGCCAAACACCCCUGCCAUGGCUCAACCAGUCCCCUGCCACAUGGACAACACUGACCCGGUGAGUGAUGACAUUGAAGCUAAUGUGGAGUUGACUCUUAAUCAGUAGUAGAUCUUAAGUCUAAAUUGUUGAAGAGUUCGGCCUCAAGAAUGUAAAUGAGUACAAUUACAAGCAAAUUGUACAAUGGAUUAUAAUGUGGGAUUGUCAUGGGUUUAGCUGCACAGUGGAAUGUUGAUCUGAUUAACUACAGAGGAACUAAAGAGUGUGGCUGGCUUGUGUGUUUGAGACUGGGAGCCUAGGGGACUGGUGUCUUGGUCCUAGGGGCUUCCCCUCUCUCAACCUGAGAGAGGAGACUGAAGCACUGAGAGAGGCUUACUGGAGCAUGGGGGCGACGUGGACUCACUCCGGGACCACAGCUGGAGAGCACGCUCUGACACACACAGGACCAGCUGCACAGGGUGACCGAGGAGAACGCCCGUCUGAAAUGUAAACUCAGGGAGAAAUGGGGGGCCUGUGAGGCGGAGUGGGGGUGCUAGCUAGGAGGGAAAAGCAUGACAGGAAAUGCCCAGGAAAACAGGGUGCCAAUUCAUAACCUAAUUCCCCAGGUUAGCAGAAAGCUUACCACAACUCCAACCCAGAAUAAUACUACCCUAGUCUUAGCCGAUAAUGACCUAACCCUGUAUGCCUUAGCCCUGGAUGACCUAGCUCUAGCUUUGAACCAGGAGAACCAAGGCAUAGGGCAGGCGUAUCAAGGAGCUCCUGCACCACAUAGAGAGCCGGGAUAGUAAGGUUAGUGAGAGGAAGCUAGAGAGGGAGAGCUGGAGCAGGAGAACCAGGAGCAGGGAGGUCUUAUAACCGAGCUAACCAGGAAGACCAAGGAGGACCUCAACACUAUCAUGGAGCUGCAGCAGAGACUGACUGAGAGCGGUCAGCUUGGUCUACAACAGGGUGACCAUGGUUUGACCACUGAGUCAGAGUGUGGUCAAAAGGGUGAGCAUGCGGUCGGGUCAGUGUUCGCUCAACAGGGUCAACCCCCGGUAGGGUUCGUGACCAGUCUACAAGGUGAUCACACGCCAGGGUCGGUGAAUAGUGGUGAACUACAGGUUGACCACACGACCGAGUCAGUUAGGGAUCAAAAGGACAGCCAUUUGACCACAGAGUUAGUAUCCAUGCUGAGAGAGGAGAGGGGCGAGCUAAUUGGGUCUCAGUGAUCUCAAAGGGGAAAGGGAACAGGUUUCCCCUCUCACUCAGGUGUCAGACAGGGAAACACCAGCUAACGCGCUCCGUGUGGGUCCUGGAAGAAGAACGCGACCGGGUCAAUCAGGAACUCUGCGGUUUAAAAGAAGAGCAAGUACAGUUUACCAGGUCUGAAAGAUAAGAGACAAGGUGGUAUGGUCAAUGUGUGGUUUAAAAGAGGAGAGUGACCAGCUAGUUCCGUCAAGGUCUGGACUCCAGGAGGAGAGAGACCAGCUAGUUCAGUCAAUGUCUGUUUUCUACAAGGAGAGAGAACAGCUAGUUCAGUCCAAUGUCUGGUUUCCAGGAGGAGAGAGAUGAGCUCUCGCAGUCUCUCUUCAGUCAAGAAGAUGAGAGACCAACCUAACGAGUCACUCCACAAUCUAGAAGAGGAGCGAGACCAGUUGAUGCAAUCCAUGUGGGGUUUAAAGGGACAGAGAGACUAGCUAACACAGACACUCAGCCUUCUGGAGCAGAAGAGAGACAAACUGCCUUCAAACAGAAGACAGAGACCCGGUCAACCCGUUUAAAGAAGAGCGAGAGCAGUUGGUUCAGUUAAUGGUUGUUCUGUGCGAACAAAGAGAGCAUCUCACAACGGAGAGAGAGACCAGUUGCAGAUGGACGUUGCUCCUUUACGGAAUCAGCUACUGUCACAGGGGCGGAGUCACGACCAGCGGGUACUCUGAGAACCACGUUGGCGUGGCAACACACAUAGAGGGUGUGGCUACAGAGAGCGGGGUCACUGCGCCAAAAUACGGACGAUGACGUCGUUCAGAGAAGUCUGGCCACGGUCUACUCCUACAAGACCAUCCGCCUGGGGCAGUCUGCACAGGGAACACUUGGAAGAGGUGACAGUGGAACAGAGUGAACUGAUGGAGGAGAUCAAGUCGUUGGGGUCAGAACACAGAAGGUCACGAGACGAACUGGAGAAGAACCAAUCGGAGGAUCUCCCUUCCAAGACCAGACACCAGGUUUACUCCAGUCCCCCACCAGGUCAGGGAAACUAUCCAGGUUACCCCAAACCUUGCUGCCCUCAACCGACCCAAGCAUACCCCCAUAACAGCUACCCCUUCUACUACUACUACUACUGCCCCCGCUCGGACUGUUAAAGCACGAAGUACCACUACCUCGUUGAAAACUGCCCCUCCAACAAUUACCCUUAAAACUACAGCCCUCACUAAAGCUGCCCCCUCCACCUCUGCUCUGCCACCCACUGAGAGGACGUGACUGCCUGAUGAGGACCAUUGUGUCAAGAAGCUCCUCUCCAACUGCCAACCUGAACAAGCUAAAGCAACCAAACCCAGAGCUAAGCCGGGUAGAGUAGCCCAGACAACAUACACUGUUUACUGUACACUUGAUGGAAAGCAUGGGUGUCUGAUUGUUUUUUUUGUCCCGCCCCUUUAGAACCUCCAGCUGAGGUGGGCUCUGUUGAGGUCAUCAGGAUGGUGGGACAGAGCAGCCUCAUGAUUGGCUGGAUGAGCUGGGCUGCAGCAACGGAACCUUUAUGUAUGGAUACUGCCUCUCACCUGGGAUACAGUAGAAUGUAAAUAAAUGGGUUUUGGUGUUGUCCAUUCUAUACAGUCCAAUGUCUCCGUAUGCUGUGCUCAUCUCGCGCUCUCUCUUUCUGUCUUUCUCUCUCUUUGUCUUUCUCUCACCCUCUCUUCCUCCCCAUUUUCUCUCCCCCUCCUCUCUCUCUCUCUCUCUUUCUGUCUUUCUCUCUCUUUGUCUUUCUCUCACCCUCUCUUCCUCCCCAUUUUCUCUACCCCUCCUCUCUCUCUCUCUCUCUCUCUUUCUGUCUUUCUCUCUCUUUGUCUUUCUCUCACCCUCUCUUCCUCCCCAUUUUCUCUACCCCCCCCCUCUCUCUCUCCUCUCUUUGUCUUUCUCUCUCUUUGUCUUUCUCUCACCCUCUCUUCCUCCCCAUUUUCUCUGUCUUUCUCUCUCUUUGUCUUUCUCUCACCCUCUCUUCCUCCUAAUUUUUUCUCUCGCUCUCGCUCUCUCUCGCUCUAUAUAUACUGGACUCCGCCCACACACCGAAACAGUGGCUCCACCCAACCAGUGAGUUCUACAGACAUGCAUGUGUACUUAAUGUUUUGUACACUCAGUUUACCACCCUGGUGAGAGCAGAGGUCGGACUAGCUGGCCAAUCAGAGGCUAGAAGCAGUGCAUGCACAAGGGUGAGGAUGCAUGCCUAUCACCCGAUUGGCCAGGGCCGCAGCCUGGUGACCUCUCACAUGAGUGGGGAUAAAAGGUGAGAAUGGGUUAGAACGGGUGAGACCAAGCAACAGGUAAUCAAGUUGCAAUGUCUGUGACGUCUAGGAGGAGUAAUUCUGUACAGCAACCCUACCCUGACCCAACCAUUUCAUCUUUCAAUGUUUUACUGCAGAUUUUCAGCCGCACUGUCCAGUUGAAACCUUACUCACCAGAUUCAGAAGCUCAUCCUAAGCUUCUGUAUUAAUAUGUGUGUGUGUGUGUGUUUGUGUUUGCUUGCUUGUGACCUGUGUGUUCUCUCUGUGUAUGCAUAUGUGCAUGAUUGGCGUGCAGCUACAGUCCUCUGGUGGACAGCCCUAACCUCCACCCUAGGAGAGCUGGCCCAGAGAGGGGGAGAUACUGUCACGUUGCUAGGCAACCCCCGCAACGACGGCUUCUGUGAGGCCGAGGUGAAUGGCAGACUAGGUCUGGCUCCUGUUGCCUUCCUAGAGGAAGUUCUUGAUCCAGACAGACAUGUAAGCCCCGAAGCAACAGAUGAUAGACCACUGUGACGGCCAAUCAGAGAGAGCGCAAGAUGAUAGGUCACUGUGACUGCCAAUCAGAGAGAGGACAAGAUGAUGAGCCACUGUGACUGCCAAUCAAAUGAUGCUUCCCUACAGAGAGAUUAUAGUGGCCAACAUUCAUGACGUCAUCAAACGCUGCCUGCCUGUGACAAAAACAUUCAUAAGUGCUCACAGCCUAAAGUCGUUUGAAAUGGAAAGCUACACUAAAGCACUAGCUGAAAUGUGGGUGUGUUUGUGUGUAUGGCCCAGUUUGACAUUGUGCUUCUCCAAACGGAUGCUUUUAACCUACAUCCUGCUCAUUGAGAUCGUGUCAAAUCACCUCUGUUCUUCAAAAUCCCACGCUUUUCUGUGUCUAAUCUCUCGUGGACAGACACACUUAACUGGUAUCCUAGUGUCUGUCAGCAGACUGUGGGAUGCGACGACUAACGAGGAACUUUGUUUCCGGUGCACAGAUUUUUCGUCGCUGAUUAUUUUGGACAAAUCACGAUUUUUCCGCCUUCCUUUUUCGGGAAGAGGAGGGGACAGUUGGACCAUGGACUUGCCUGUAAAUUGCAACUGGAGAGGAGUUAACGGCCUGCGGCCCCUCCGCGUUCUAGUGUUUUUCUAACACAUCUGCCCGCAGAACGUAAUCAAGCAUCUGACACAAUUACACAAGAUUUUAGUUUUGGGUUUCCGAGAUUAUUCUGUAUGUGACAAGUGUCAAAAACGAAGGUGGGCCUGAAUGAUGUGACAACUUGUCUAACAAUCUGUCCGAAAGCCUCUCUAACAUGUUGGUGAUAUCAAGUGAUAAUUUUUUACGUGAUGAUAAAACGAAGUCGUUUUCACAAGGCCAUUUUACUUGAUCUUUAGGCAUCGAGCCAAAUAUGAAAACAAAGCUCCAUCCCAAAGACUUUGAUAUUUCUGUUCCUCGUCGUGACGUUUACAGAAAAUGUUUUUUUUUUUUUUGAUCCAAGUUAAAUCAUGAAGUCAAUUGUCUGAGCUGUUCUUCCACUGUAGAAUCGACUCAAUCUAUGAAGUCAUGCCAUUCAGAUGGAUGGAUGUUUGUGACUGAUAUAUUUUGUAGAGAUGAUUAAAUAACCUGAGGUAUGCAAAGGCUGAGUACUUUAUGUGUGGCUUUCAUCUCCUCAUUCUCUGUCUACAGGCCUAACUGACGUGUAGCUUUUACAUUCUGACCUGAUUCUCCAAAGGCUUCUCAAAUGAAACGGAGAAAAUACACACAUUCUGUUUACUGCAUACUUGUCUUUAACUGAUUAUGAUGUACGGUUGGGGGAAUGGCCAUGCUGCCACAAAUAUAUUUUAUAUAUCAUUCUGUGUUAGAUGUAAUUUGAUUUCCUAAUGAUUCCUUAGGCUGUAUAAAGAGCAUAAAUGUUGAUAGGACACAUCACAUACAAUGGUAUGUAAUUGUGUCUCGAGGAUUACACUCAUAUGCAACCUUGGUUUUACCACUAGGUGGCAGUCAUCGCAACGCCUGUCAGCCUGUUACUCUCAAUAGACAAAUACAUCCCAC
ensembl:lncRNA